rnacentral:rRNA from 1 species
AGAGUUUGAUCCUGGCUCAAAACGAACGCUGGCGGCGUGGAUAAGACAUGCAAGUCGAACGGGGUGGUAGCAAUACCACUCAGUGGCGCAAGGGUGCGUAACACGUGGGCAACCUGCCCUGGAGUCUGGGAUAGCCCGCCGAAAGGCGGAUUAAUACCGGAUGUGGCUACUGGAGGAUUCCCUGGGACGCUAAAGGUGGAGCAAUCUGCCGCUCUUGGAUGGGCCCGCGGCCUAUCAGCUUGUUGGUGAGGUAACGGCUCACCAAGGCGAUGACGGGUAGCUGGUCUGAGAGGACCACCACCCACACUGGAACUGAGACACGGUCCACACACCUACGGGUGGCAGCAGUCAAGAAUUUUUCGCAGUGGGGGAAACCCUGACGGAGCGACGCCGCGUGGAGGAUGAAGGUCUUCGGAUUGUAAACUCCUGUCAUUGGAGAACAAGGUGCUCCUAUUAACUGUAGGGGUAAUUGCUACCACCCAAAAGAGGAAAGGGACGGGCUUACUCUGUGCCCACCACCCCGCGGAAAUACACAAGCCCCCCGAGCGUUGUUCAUAAUUCUUUGG